rnacentral:rRNA from 1 species
AUUGAACGCUGGCGGUAUGCUUUACACAUGCAAGUCGAACGGCAGCGCGGGCUUCGGCCUGGCGGCGAGUGGCGAACGGGUGAGUAAUACAUCGGAACGUGCCCAGUAGUGGGGGAUAGCUCGGCGAAAGCCGGAUUAAUACCGCAUACGACCUGAGGGUGAAAGCGGGGGAUCUUCGGACCUCGCGCUAUUGGAGCGGCCGAUGGCAGAUUAGCUAGUUGGUGGGGUAAAGGCCUACCAAGGCGACGAUCUGUAGCUGGUCUGAGAGGACGACCAGCCACACUGGGACUGAGACACGGCCCAGACUCCUACGGGAGGCAGCAGUGGGGAAUUUUGGACAAUGGGCGAAAGCCUGAUCCAGCAAUGCCGCGUGUGUGAUGAAGGCCUUCGGGUUGUAAAGCACCUUUGGCGGGAACGAAAAGGACUGUGCCAAUACCACGGUUCGAUGACGGUACCCGCAGAAUAAGCACCGGCUAACUACGUG